rnacentral:rRNA from 1 species
UACGGAGGGUGCAAGCGUUGUCCGGAUUUAUUGGGUUUAAAGGGUGCGUAGGCGGCCUAUUAAGUCGGACGUGAAAUCCCCAGGCUCAACCUGGGAACUGCGUCCGAUACUGGAUGGCUUGAAUCCGGGAGAGGGAUGCAGAAUUCCAGGUGUAGCGGUGAAAUGCGUAGAUAUCUGGAGGAAUACCGGUGGCGAAGGCGGCAUCCUGGACCGGCAUUGACGCUGAGGAGCGAAAGCCAGGGGAGCAAACGGG